rnacentral:lncRNA from 1 species
CCCCAGCUGGAAGGGUGUCAGUACCGUGCCACAGGUAUAGAACUGCUGUGAUUAUACCCUCUUUGAUAGGGAGCUCUUCCAUCAACCCCUCUUGGUAGGUAACCCAAAUUAGACGUAUAUAUGUCCCUAAACAUGUAGGGUGCAUCUCAACCUACGCUGGCUACGUAGUUCUGGAAUACAAAGAUUUCUUCUAAGGAUCAUACCCUUCACUGAAUAAUAGGUGAGCCCCCAUUCUU